AGCGAACGCUGGCGGCAGGCCUAACACAUGCAAGUCGAGCGCCGUAGCAAUACGGAGCGGCAGACGGGAGAGUAACACGUGGGAACGUGCCCUUUGGUUCGGAACAACCCAGGGAAACUUGGGCUAAUACCGGAUAAGUCCGUAAGGAGAAAGAUUUAUCGCCGAAGGAUCGGCCCGCGUCUGAUUAGCUAGUUGGUGGGGUAAUGGCCCACCAAGGCGACGAUCAGUAGCUGGUCUGAGAGGAUGAUCAGCCUCACUGGGACUGAGACACGGCCCAGACUCCUACGGGAGGCAGCAGUGGGGAAUCUUAGACAAUGGGGGAAACCUUGAUCUAGCCAUGCCGCGUGAGCGAUGAAGGCCUUAGGGUUGUAAAGCUCUUUCACCGGGGAAGAUAAUGACGGUACCCGGAGAAGAAGCCCCGGCUAACUCCGUGCCAGCAGCCGCAGUAACAC
rnacentral:rRNA from 1 species